AACGAACGCUGGCGGCAGGCUUAACACAUGCAAGCCGAGCGCCCCGCAAGGGGAGCGGCAGACGGGUGAGUAACGCGUGGGAAUCUACCCAUCUCUACGGAAUAACGCAUGGAAACGUGUGCUAAUACCGUAUACGUCCUUCGGGAGAAAGAUUUAUCGGAGAUGGAUGAGCCCGCGUUGGAUUAGCUAGUUGGUGGGGUAAAGGCCUACCAAGGCGACAAUACAUAGCUGGUCUGAGAGGAGGCUCAGCCACACUGGGACUGAGACACGGCCCAGACUCCUACGNANGGCAGCAGUGGGGGAUAUUGGACAAUGGGCGCAAGCCUGAUCCAGCCAUGCCGCGUGAGUGAUGAAGGCCCUAGGGUUGUAAAGCUCUUUCACCGGNGAAGAUAAUGACGGUAACCGGAGAAGAAGCCCCGGCUAACUUCGUGCCAGCAGCCGCAGUAAAA
rnacentral:rRNA from 1 species